rnacentral:rRNA from 1 species
CAGUCGCCACGGGAAUACGUAGGUGGCAAGCGUUAUCCGGAAUUAUUGGGCGUAAAGCGCGCGUAGGCGGUUUCUUAAGUCUGAUGUGAAAGCCCACGGCUCAACCGUGGAGGGUCAUUGGAAACUGGGAAACUUGAGUGCAGAAGAGGAAAGUGGAAUUCCAUGUGUAGCGGUGAAAUGCGCAGAGAUAUGGAGGAACACCAGUGGCGAAGGCGACUUUCUGGUCUGUAACUGACGCUGAUGUGCGAAAGCGUGGGGAUCAAACAGGAUUAGAUACCCCAGUAGUUCCUGUCUCUUAUAC